GAUGAACGCUGGCGGCGUGCCUAAUACAUGCAAGUCGAGCGAACAGACGAGGAGCUUGCUCCUCUGACGUUAGCGGCGGACGGGUGAGUAACACGUGGAUAACCUACCUAUAAGACUGGGAUAACUUCGGGAAACCGGAGCUAAUACCGGAUAAUAUAUUGAACCGCAUGGUUCAAUAGUGAAAGACGGUUUUGCUGUCACUUAUAGAUGGAUCCGCGCCGCAUUAGCUAGUUGGUAAGGUAACGGCUUACCAAGGCGACGAUGGGUAGCCGACCUGAGAGGAUGAUCGGCCACACUGGAACUGAGACACGGUCCAGAAUCCUACGGGAGGCAGCAGUAGGGAAUCUUCCGCAAUGGGCCAAAGCCUGACGGAGCAACGCCGCGUGAGUGAUGAAGGUCUUCGGAUCGUAAAACUCUGUUAUUAGGGAAGAACAAAUGUGUAAGUAACUAUGCACGUCUUGACGGUACCUAAUCAGAACGCCACGGCUAACUACGUG
rnacentral:rRNA from 1 species